rnacentral:rRNA from 1 species
UCGGCAAUGGAUAUCUUGGCUCUCGCAUCGAUGAAGAGCGCAGCGAAAUGCGAUACGUGGUGCGAAUUGCAGAAUCCCGUGAACCAUCGAGUUUUUGAACGCAAGUUGCGCCCGAGGCCGCUGGCCAAGGGCACGUCCGCCUGGGCGUCAAG